rnacentral:rRNA from 1 species
CCUACGGGGAGCAGCAGUGGGGAAUAUUGCACAAUGGGGGAAACCCUGAUGCAGCGACGCCGCGUGAGCGAUGAAGUAUUUCGGGAUGUAAAGCUCUAUCAGCAGGGAAGAAAAUGACGGUACCUGACUAGGAAGCCCCGGAUAACUACGUGCCAGCAGCCGCGGUAAUACGUAGGGGGCAAGCGUUAUCCGGAUUUACUGGGUGUAAAGGGGGCGUAGACGGCGGUGCAAGCCAGAUGUGAAAGACUGGGGCUCAACCCCGGGACUGCAUUUGGAACUGUGCUGCUAGAGUGUCGGAGAGGCAGGCGGAAUGCCUAGUGUAGCGGUGAAAUGCGUAGAUAUUAGGAGGAACACCAGUGGCGAAGGCGGCCUGCUGGACGAUGACUGACGUUGAGGCUCGAAAGCGUGGGGAGCAAACAGGAUUAGAUACCCCGGUAGUC